AGGGGUCAACAGCCUCAACCAAGAUGCAGCUUCCUAAAGAUCCUAAGCAUGCAUUGUGUUUGAUUCAGAGGUUCUUUGUAAUUCAGCUGUUUGUAUCGCUUGGUCAGGAUUUCUCUGUUGAAUUAGGGAUUUGUGAUAUGGGUAAUAACAAGAGACGUAUUGUGCUGUCAACUUCCCAUAAAGAAGUUUCUGUCACACCCUUGCAU